rnacentral:rRNA from 1 species
UACGAAGGGGGCAAGCGUUGUUCGGAAUUACUGGGCGUAAAGGGCUCGUAGGCGGCCAACUAAGUCAGACGUGAAAUCCCUCGGCUUAACCGGGGAACUGCGUCUGAUACUGGAUGGCUUGAGUUUGGGAGAGGGAUGCGGAAUUCCAGGUGUAGCGGUGAAAUGCGUAGAUAUCUGGAGGAACACCGGUGGCGAAGGCGGCAUCCUGGACCAACACUGACGCUGAGUGAGCGAAAGCCAGGGGAGCAAACGGG